GACGAACGCUGGCGGCGUGCUUAACACAUGCAAGUCGAACGGAAAGGCCCUGCUUUUGUGGGGUGCUCGAGUGGCGAACGGGUGAGUAACACGUGAGUAACCUGCCCUUGACUUUGGGAUAACUUCAGGAAACUGGGGCUAAUACCGGAUAGGAGCUCCUGCUGCAUGGUGGGGGUUGGAAAGUUUCGGCGGUUGGGGAUGGACUCGCGGCUUAUCAGCUUGUUGGUGGGGUAGUGGCUUACCAAGGCUUUGACGGGUAGCCGGCCUGAGAGGGUGACCGGCGACAUUGGGACUGAGAGACGGCCCAGACUCCUACGGGAGGCAGAAGUGGGGAAUAUUGCACAAUGGGCGGAAGCCUGAUGCAGAAAAGCCGCGUGCGGGAUGACGGCCCUCGGGUUGUAAAACGCUUUCGCCUGUGACGAAGCGCGAGUGACGGUAAUGGGUAAAGAAGAACAGGCUAAAUACGUG
rnacentral:rRNA from 1 species